GACGAACGCUGGCGGCGUGCCUAAUACAUGCAAGUCGAACGCAGUGGGGACGGGUGAGUAACACGUGGGUAACCUCCCAUAAGAGGGGAUAACACUUGGAAACAGGUGCUAAACCGAUACUGAUGGCUGAACCCGCGGUGCAUGAGCUGGUGGGUGAGGUAACGGCUCACCAAGGCCACGAUGCAUAUCCGACCUGAAAGGAUGAUCAGCCACACUGGGACUGAGACACGGCCCAGACUCCGACGGGAGGCAGCAGUGGGAAAUAUUGCACAAUGGGCGCAAGCCUGAUGCAGCAAUGCCGCGUGUAUGAAGAAGGCCUUAGGGUUGUAAAGUACUUUCAGCGGGGAGGCGUUACCAGCAGAAGAAGCACCGGCUAACUCCGUGCCAGCAGCCGCGGUAAUAC
rnacentral:rRNA from 1 species